rnacentral:rRNA from 1 species
ACUCCUACGGGAGGCAGCAGUGGGGAAUAUUGCACAAUGGGGGAAACCCUGAUGCAGCCAUGCCGCGUGUGUGAAGAAGGCCUUCGGGUUGUAAAGCACUUUCAGUAGGGAGGAAGGUAGUGUAGUUAACACCUGCCAUUAUUUGACGUUACCUACAGAAGAAGCACCGGCUAACUCCGUGCCAGCAGCCGCGGUAAUACGGAGGGUGCGAGCGUUAAUCGGAAUUACUGGGCGUAAAGCGCAUGCAGGCGGCCUGUUAAGUCAGAUGUGAAAGCCCGGGGCUUAACCUCGGAAUUGCAUUUGAAACUGGCAGGCUAGAGUCUUGUAGAGGGGUUAGAAGUUUCAGGUGUAGCGGUGAAAUGCGU